UAUUGUUCAAUUGAGGAUCUUUACUAGCUUCACACUAGAUGAACUUGUUAAUGGGUAUAUUUUGACCAUGAACCAUAUAACGGUAGCUUUCAUACAAUCCCUAAUAGGUAAACUUCUCGAUUUUUAUAAUAAAAUUGUGUACUAGCUUCAUAGUAUAUGAAGUUGUUAAUGUGUUAUAGCUUUCACGCUAUUUUGUUGGUAGCUUUCACUCUAUUAGGGUGGUAGUCCUCACCUCUCUACACAUCUUUUACAACAAAUUUGAGAUCACCAACAAAAUUACAAUGGUUCAAUUACUAUCUAGGAUACUUCUUACCAUCUGAAUUUGCGAUAUUUUCAAUUUUUAAUUUCCUCCAAUAUUUUUAUAUGUGUAUGUGUGUCUAUGCUUAUGUAUAUAUAAUCCACUAUCAUAUAUAAUUAGGGAUAGCCAAAAUCACAUUACUUUUAUUUUAAUGAUCAUGCAAAACUACAAUUAAAUCACAUUAAUUUUAUUUUAAUGAUCAUGCAAAACUACAAGUAUAGUUUCGAUUUUUAUUUAUUUAUAUUAAUGAUAUUGGGAGGUAGGAAUGGAACAACAUUUAAGUAGGUUGCUUAGUUUCUUGUACAAUUACUAUUAAUUAUGUUGUAAUAGUGUUAAACAAAAUUUGCUUGCUUAAUUAGUUGUUCCAUAUUUGUUUUAAAAAGCAGUUAAAGAAAAUGUUUGUAGUUCAAGUGUUUAAGAACAAUCAUAGAGAAAAAAGGACAAUGUGCAUUAAUAAAAUAAGUUUUGGGUAUGAAAAAGAAAUUUUCAAAUCGCAAUAAGAUUACCUUUUGUAAAUUAGUUAAUUACCUAAAUAAGGAAUCAGAUAUAUAUUGCGACAAAAAACGCAUGACCACACUCCAUGCCAUAUGUGUUUGCUCAAGAGGCGUUCAACAUGAAUCACAGGGAUCUGUCACAUUUGCUUUGCUUGUAAUUCUUUGAUUUCACUAGAACUAAAUUUCUGUAACACAAAAUAAAAAAGUUAAAUUUUUUUAUUAUAUUAUUAUACUAUUUCAAAUAAAAGAUUAGGUCCCAUAAGCCUCAGUCGUUGAAAAAUGUUACACGAACUUUUGUUGGAUAAAAUGAGGUAAGUGAAAUGUCCAUUGGGCUUUAAUUCAGUUUUAUGGGAAUGUUGAAUUAAGACAAUUGUUUACAUAAAAACCCAAUAUUAAGUUUAAGUCCACUACUAAUUAGAAAACUGAUUAAUAUAAUAAAAUUGUAUAGAUUAAUAAUAGAGAGAGUACAAAUAUACACACGCCUAACCCUAGGAUUACAAGGAGAAAAUACACAAUUGGGAUAGGGUUAGGAAUCCUAAACAAGGAAGAAAAUCCACAAUUGGGAUAGGAUUAGGAAUCAUAAACUAGGAAGUAAAUAAAAGGGCAAACAAUAAUAUAUGAGUGCUGCUAUUUCCACCCCUUGUCCUAUUUCCCCACCCACUUUAUCUUCUCACCCACCAUAUAAAUUUUUAAAAAACAAAAUCUUAUCUUCCCACCCACCAUUAUUUCUAAAAUACCCUUAAAUUAUUAAAUUAAACUAAUAAUAAAAUAACAUUUUAAAAAAUAAAAAAUACAAACAAAAAUCCUCUCUCCCCCUUCCCAACUCAGCCCCACCCCCUCAGCAACACUACACUAGCCAUCAGCCCCUCCUCCACCUCUUCACCCUUCACCAUGGCUUGAGCAAAAUCCUCAAAAAACUUAGUUAUUUGUGCAGAGCUUCUUUAAUCUCUGCACAAAAUUGGGGUUGAGGGCUGGGAGCUACAAGAUGAAGCACGAUUCAUACCAAAAAAAUGCGAAUUCACCUCUACACAAAACUCUUACGAAUUCACCUGCACUCACCUUGCGAAUUCACCUCUAGUCUAAUAUCAAUAAAAUACUAACUCACCGAGAAUUCAGAAGAGAAAAAAAACAGAAACAAAAAUCUAGAAAGAAAAAAAUAGUAACGAAGCAGAGAGAGUUUUUGUUUAAAAAAAUGUUGUUUUACUUUUAUUUGAAAUGUUUUUAAAAAAGUUUUUAACUUAGGUCAUUAGAAGACAUUUUACAAAGAGAUAAAUUUAUUUUUAAAAUUUGAAAAAUAAGAUGAGUGGAAAAAUAUGACAGGUAUGUGGAAAUAACAGCACUCUAAUAUAUAUUUACAAUUUUCUUUAACAGGAGGCCAUCACGCGAGAGAAGAGAGAGCAGGGAAGGUAGGGGUGAAUUAACCCAGUUGCAAACACACACACAACCUCUUUUGGCAAGCUUCGCAGUGGCAUAAGCAGUAAGGGGUUCUCCUUGAGUCUGGAGUCUCAGAGUGGAGGCAAGUGAAAGACCAACCACUGCCGCAUAGGGUUUUGCGAUUUAAGGAGUUUUUCCUAUGCAAGAUGGUAAAGAAGUGGAUCCCCUUGUCCCGCCUAUUAAGGGUAAAGAAGUGGAUAUUGAUCAUGAGGACGAGAGAUUUUACGGCAAAUCCAAUUGGUCGUCGUCGUCGGAGCUGAUGGAUAAGGAGGAUCUGGAGGCAGGGGGGAGGAGCAGGAGUCUAAAGAAGCUUUUUAUGGCGGAUUCGAUUCGGUGUCGCGGGGGCAGUUGGUGAUUAGAGACCAAUUGGAUGCUCCUCCACUGCCACAUGGGAUGAGCACUCCAAAAAUCUUGUAUUUAUGUUUUGGCGAAUAUAUGGCGGAUAAUCAGGUUCUGUACUCUAUUCAAGCACUGCGCUUGGAUUCUUUCCCUCCAUUACAGACUUUAAAGGCCAAGGAACUGGCAUAUAUACGUGGUGAAGGGCUUCCUCUCCGUAUGGGUUGCAGUCUUUUCGGAUGUAACAUUGUUUGGACGGGUACGGCAGUUUCCCAACAUAUCCACAGAAAGACAUUUACGCUUUUGACACUAAACAUCCCUACACCUGCCAAGUCUUCAACAACAGUUCUCUCCGACAAGGGAAGUCUCGUCCGCUUCUGGUGGAGUACUACGACAAGCUGUAUGUGCUCUCCACUUUAAUGUUAGGGCUUAGUGAUGGUAGACAUUUAACGUUUUUAAGGUAGGGAAACCUGGUUUGCUCGUUCGUGUAGUUGUAGGCUCAUAUAUUUUUGUAUGUUCCUCAUUUGACCGUGUAUUUCGCUUUGACAUGGCUGACCCCAGCCAAAAAUGGAGAGCGCACAAGUUUAUCAACUGCAUUGGAUUGCCCUUUGAAAGUAUUGGCGAAACUUUAACAGUAGAAUUUGGGGAUGAAGGUUGGGUGAUUUUGAGUUGUAAGCCAGAGUUAUAUGUUGUUGACGAGUACAGUGAUCCUCCUCAUUCUCGUUAUUAUGAAUGGAAGGGUACUUUUAUGCCCGCCUAUUUGAUGUCCAAGGACAACACAUUAGUGACACCUUUUGAACCUGAUCUCAAGAUUCCGCAUGGUUACUUAUCCCCUGGAGAUAAACCUUUCCAUUUGAGUGGUGUAGAGUAUAAAAUGAUCCAUCUACAAGGUCGAGAAAUCUGCCCUACUAUAAAAUGGUCCGGGGUCGGGGAGAUGGAGAGGAUGCAGACUUAUGUCAUGAUUUUUGAAUUUGAAAUUGUCAGGGGCAAACACACCUUAGCCUACAAAAUCUUGCAUCCUCUUUCCAAGAUUAUAGACGACCGGUUGUCUGAAUCUAGAACCAAUAAAGUUGGCCUGGAGGGUGCCUUUUUUCUGUAAGUUUCGUUAACUGAUUACUUAUUUCAGUCAUUUUGAAAACUUCACCAGGUAGUUGCAUUUUUAUGGAUUUUUACUGUAUAUGCAUUAUGUAUAUGUAUGAUGAUGCAGUUAUGUGGUCUUAGUAUUUAUCUUUUCUCCAAGAGAAGUGAACCUAGAUUCUUAAUUUUGCUGCAUAUAUGUAUAAGUUUAUCUCCUAAUAAUGAAUUUAUUUAAGGUUUUUAGUGGUAAUAGAUGGAGUCACAGCGGAUUUGAUCUAGUUUUGUUAUUUGCUUCAUUUUUAAACAUUGGAACAGGUAAAAGUCUUUUCCACUAGUAAUGCCACUUUCUUUUCUUUUUCUACUUAUCUCCCACUUCAUAUCACUGUUAGUAGAACCCUUGAUGAACUUCUCUCCACAGAGUACCUCUUCCGUGAAAGCGUCCACUUCCAAUGUAUAGUAAAUGGACCUCAUAACCUGUGUCCUGCGUCAAUUUUAAUAUUCAGCAUAAAAUAUUAAAACAACAAAAUUGGAAACCAAGAAGCCAAAGGUGAAUAGAGUGAGUUUGAUUUGUUUGAGGAAAUUACCUAAGACUGCUUUCUGGACCACAUACACGAGUAACAAUCUUUGGUAAAAGAUUAAAUGUAAAGAAAAAAAAAGGUACCCAUUUAAUAAACCUAUGCUUCCGAUGCAAGAGAACUAUAAACUUGGAUAUUUAGUACAGCAAUACCUAAAAAUGGACCCGCCAAAAGGCCAAGGCAAUAGCUAGCUACUAAGAUACCUUCAGAGAUGCUGCAAAAGCUUUCUUAGGGGAAGAUCGUUCUGACGUUGAUGUAGACAUAAACAAUAAGCCCAUUGUCAAAAACAUGUACGGUUUUGUGGGUCGAAUUGAAUAACCCAAAAUAGCAGAAUCAUGAGCCCAUUAAUUUUUGGGAUAUUAUGAUAUCGAACAUGUUAUUAUGAGCAUCGAAUUUUAGAUUAAAAGGUAUUUAAACAUGACUCAAACCUAAUUAGAGAAAACGACAAGCAGAGGUGGUGGUCCUUAACAAUUUGGUGCUGCUGAGUGCAUAGUCUAUGUCCAAUAGACAAUCAAUAUGGAACAAUUAUUAUUAUUAUUAUUUUGUAUUUUUUCAUAACACGGGACAAUUGAUUUAGGGUCAAAUAUUGUUAAAUCGAGAAUCUGUACUAGCUUCACACUAUGAACUUGUUAAUGGGUAUAUUUUGACCAUGAACCAUAUAACGGUAGCUUUCAUACAAUCCCUAACAGGUAAACUUCUCCAUUUUUAUAACAAAAUUGUGCACUAUCUUCACACUAUAUGAAGUUGUUAAUGUGUUAUAGCUUUCACACUAUUUUGUUGGUAGCUUUCACUCUAUUAGGGUGGUAGUCCUCACCUCUCUACACAUCUUUUACAACAAAUUUGAGAUCACCAACAAAAUUACAAUGGUUCAAUUACUAUCUAGGAUACUUCUUACCAUCUGAAUUUGCAAUAUUUUUAAUUUCCU
rnacentral:lncRNA from 1 species